UACGUAGGGGGCAAGCGUUGUCCGGAAUUAUUGGGCGUAAAGAGCGUGUAGGCGGUCCGGUAAGUCAGCUGUGAAAGUCAAGGGCUCAACCCUUGAAUGCCGGUUGAUACUGUCGGGCUAGAGUCCGGAAGAGGCGAGUGGAAUUCCCGGUGUAGCGGUGAAAUGCGCAGAUAUCGGGAGGAACACCAAUGGCGAAGGCAGCUCGCUGGGACGGUACUGACGCUGAGACGCGAAAGCGUGGGGAGCAAACAGGGAUAGAA
rnacentral:rRNA from 1 species